AAGGUAGCGGUGCGGAAGGAUCCGGCUUUCAUCUGUAAGGUGGCGGUGCGAGAUACGUUGUCUGAGUCGGAAGGUGCGAGUGCCCGAGGGAUUAUCACGUCCAAAGAUAUCCAUCAAGUUCUCCCUGGUGAAGAGUGAUGUUCAGAAGGAUGUAACUACAAGGAUGGGAUGUUGGAGCCUGUUUUUUCCCAUUAAGAAAAUUUUGGCUCAUUAUUUAUAAUCUGCCUACUGGAAGUAUAUUCUUUCAAUAUGAAUCUCUGGAGUGCCUUUGAAGAACUGAUUUGGCAUUUGUACAAUUGGAAACAAACAACUGCAUUUUGUAA